AAAAAGGGCUGUACUUGACAUUCACAACAAUAAUAUAGAAGCAAACAAAUAUCUAUAUAAAAGAUAUAUUGGAGUAAUGGCAUCCUGAGCAGGGAAUGAAGUCAAACUCCCUCUUUGUGUUAUACUCUGAGC